GACAGAGGGGGCGAGCGUUAUCCGGAGUCAUUGGGCGUAAAGGGUACGCAGGCGGCUAGUCAAGUCUGAGGUUAAAGCCCACAGCUUAACUGUGGGAAGGCCUUGGAAACUGACUGGCUAGAGUGGGGCAGGGGUUGCGGGAAUUCCCGGUGUAGCGGUGAAAUGCGUAGAUAUCUGGAAGAACACCUGAGGCGAAAGCGGGCAACUGGGCCCUCACUGACGCUGAGGUACGAAAGCUAGGGGAGCGAAUGGG
rnacentral:rRNA from 1 species